AUUUUUUAAACAGGAUAACAAGCCUAAGAACAAAGAAAAUACAAUGCAGUUAAGAAGCACAGAACUGUAGAAACCUAACCCAAUCUUAUUAAAAGAGUGGCACAGCCUGCCCUAGACUUCCUACUUUAUGAGAUGGAGGCAUCCCUGCGGAAGUGGAGAUGGGACUGACCUCUGAGGGCCCGUAGCCCGGGGAGACUGCAAUGCGCACGCGCAAAACUUCCCCGGUCCCGCGUUCCCGGCAGACCCCAGUUCAGCUCCCUUGCUUUCCUGCCGCUUUGAUGGCAAGGUCCACGUGGCACAGAAAGUGUGUGUCACACGGAGGGGUGGUGUGUGGUUUCACAUGACACUUCUGUGAGAGACUAGUGGUCAGCCUCUCAGGGAUCAGUAGAUACUCUAGAUCCGUAGAUCAGCUUCCUGUGGCUCCAGGAAGGCACCUGAAUCUGGUCCAGGAAGUUUCCAGGAGUAAAGCGGCCAGCAAGAGGAGUGGCCCCAAGGACAGAGAAGCGCUUCAGCAUGGAUCGAUGGCCGUAUUCCCCGAAGAUUUGAGGCUGGCAGGAUCCAGGGGACAGGCACAGCCAGAAGCUUCCACUCUCUCUUCAGAUUUACAUGGUAAUCACUUUUCCUUUUGUGGUUGAUUGUUUCAUUUGGAAAUUAAGAUUGGUGCCACCUAACUGGGUGCCUGCUGCUAGAAAUUAGAGGACCUCUUGCUCCUUUAUUUGCAGGACAUCGAGGGCUCAGACAUUGGUAAGUUUCCCUUUAAGUUAUUACAGGAAUCCAGAACAAUGCCUUCUGGACUAGUUUCUGGGUAGCAUGGAAAGGCUUGGUGGCAUUUGUCAUGAGAGGCUUGGUUGUAGCAAUUAUUAAUUUUGUUCAUCAAUAUUCACUUCUCCGCUACUUCUGGAGCAGAAGAGGAUUGCAUUUAUACAGCUUCUAAUGUUCCAUGUGACCUGUUGGUUUUGGAUUGUCUCCCAUAGGAGUAAGGGAUGGCCACAGCUCACAUUGGGGACCCAGACACUGGCAGCAGCCACCUCUGGGAGCUGCCACCACUGCUAAGACACUGCUGCUGGCAGGGGCCACUGUCAAGAAUUAAGUUUCUUGUUUUGGGUAACUAAUCGCAGCUUAGAAAUGCCAUCUUCAUUUUGUGUUAAAUUUCCAUAUGUAUUUAGUCUUUCUGAAUUUCUAAUUCCAUUCCAUUGAUUUAUCUAAUCUUAUGUCAAUACCAAAAUUAUGAAAUUACUGUAGCUUUAUAAUAGAUUUUGUAACAGGUCAGGGCAAUUCCUUUUCAUUAUUCUUUUUUCUCAGACUUUUUUUAGUGAUUCCAAAAAAACUUUUCUUCUAUGUGAAUGUUAGAAUUUGGUUUGUCUAGUUUAAAAAUAGGGUUUUUUGUUUGUUUGUGGCCUUAUAACAAUUUAUGAUAAUCUGGGGACAUAAAAGACAUCUUUAUAAUAUUGUUUUCAAUCUAUGCCAAAACAGUGUUUGCCUUUUCACUUAUUCACGUCCCCUUCAGGGGAGUUCCCGUUGUGAUGCAGCAGAAACAAAUCCAACUAGGAACCAUGAGGUUGCAGGUUCGAUUCCUGACCUCGCUUGGUGGGUUAAGGAUCCAGCAUUGCUUCUGUGGUGUAGGUCGCAGAUGCGGCUUGGAUCUGGCGUUGCUGUGGCUCUGGCGUAGGCCAGCAGCUACGGCUCCAAUUCAACCCCCAGCCUGGGAACCUCCAUAUGCCACGAGUGCGGCCCUAAGAAGACAACAAGAUCAACAACAAAAAGCAAGUCCCUUUCAGACAUCUCCAACUCAGAUCUCCAAAAUGGAUACAAUAUUUCUUUACCACCAUCACCUACCAUGUUCACACAAUUCUACAGCCAGGGAAAAUAAAAUGUUAAGGAACAUGCCAGAAGGGUUGAACAUAAAACUGGCUGUGUACAUUGUAAAGUGUAAGUCCCAAUUCAGUUUGUUCUGGGACAGUGACAAACCGUAGUAUUUUCUGUUAAACAUUUUAAAGAGACAAAACCUUCAGUCUCCUUGAUUUUCACUGAUGAUGACCAACAUGCAAUUUCUACUUAAGGACUUUCUGUUAGUUUCAUCUGAAAUAUUUAGUUCAUGUGGACAAAUCAGUAAAGAUCACUCUUUGUGCGGAAAUGUAUUGUCCUUCAUUUAUUUGAUAUGCCAGUCAUAAUUAAUUUUCCUUUAAUUUUUGCUAUUUUAAAAACAUGGAACUUUUUUUUUUUUUUUUCCUUUUAACAUUCCCUUCAUGUCUAAGCUGCUCCUAAAGGCUUUGGGCCUUCUUCCCUCUUUCUUCCAUAUUGCCUUUGUCCUGUCUGUUUCUCUGUUUUUGUCUCAUUCAUGAUUCCCCGGGUAAAAUUGUCUGGAGUCACCAGCACCCAAAGAGUAAGGGAAGCCACCAGGACACAGAGUGAAAUGGUAAACUCCUUAAUACUGUUUUUGGGACCUUAAAUUCUAUAGUCAUUGCCAGUCUCCCUACCACUGAUAGGGCUCACCUUCCCAUCACUCCCCAUGCCCUAGGCACAAUGUCCUUUCAGUUCUUAAAUUCACCUGAGACCUCUUUGCCCCCAAGUCUUUGCACAUGCAGCAAUACCCAGUUCUCCCACCUCCUCAAUUUGCUAACUCUAACUCAGCAUUUAAAUCUCAGCCUAAAUCAUGUCCCCAGGAAAGCCUUUUUGGUCCCCUCAGAUGAGGUUAGGCAGCCUUGUGAUACAGUAACCUUACAUAUAGCACUUUCCAGGCAGGUUUGUUUUAUACCCUGCUAGAGUGGGUCUAGAGCAGCCUUUAUUGGGGGGGAUAGAUUAACCUUACUUGUGAAAUAUGACUUUGGAGUCUCUACUGAAUACAAGCAUUCAAGUUAUCUCAGCCCUGUAUUGUUGAACUUAAAUAUCUUUCAGCCAUGGAGAAGCUCUGGAAAUUUUUCAGCGUAUAGCUCUCUUGUUCUUCUUUGCCCUGGCUCAUUGGUUUUUACUCACAGAUUUAAGUAAACUCUUGUUCAGAUUUCGAGAGUUUUUCCUCUUAAGAGCUCCCCUCUCCCCUCUAAUUUUUCUCUAAGGUUUUAGCCAUUCAGACUCCUAAAACUCUGCUGGAUCUCCAGCUCACCAAGAUCCGCGUGCUCUGCUUGGGCACGCCUCUCCUACACUCUGGUCCAGAAUAUAUUUCUAGACAGAAAGCCAGGAUUAUUGUAGGACUUACCUAGUUUGUUGCCCUUACAUCAGGGCUCAUGGUCUUGUGCUAUAUAUUGCUCAAUAUCUAAAAACAAUUUUCCCUAUAUUUUGAAGAUUGUAUAUUUAUAGCAAGAGAUCAAGUCUGUUUCCAGUUCCUCUGUCAUAAUUGAAAGCAGGAGGCUUUCAGAAUCUUACUUAAAUCUUAGUUUUCAGAGAAUUACUUAGGGAGGAAAAUAAUGAAUGUGUAAAGCAAGUAAAAAGACAUAGCAACCAGUAAGAAAUGACCCAGGGUGGUCAUUCAUAGAGACAGUAAGAAUGUAUCUGAUAUGUCCGGGGUAGAUUAGGAGGAGUUAGUUCAUGUGAGAAAACGUGUAAACAGAUCUUCCAACUCCAUUCAGGUCCUCAGAGAGCCAACAGCUUGGCUGCAGGCUUAUGAGAGACCCUGUGCCAGAACCACCCAGUAAAGCUGCACCUGGAUUCUUAAUCCUCAGAAACUAUGUGAAAUAAUUAUGUUACACACCUUAAGCUAUUAAGCUUCGGGGUUUUUUUUGUUUUGUUUUGUUUUUUUAGUGAAGACUUUUAUAUUUAGAAUUAGCCAGCUGGACUCAGUUUAAAUGAUCCCAAUGUCGUCAGCAACAUCCAAAGCAUCAUAGUCAGGAGUUCCCGUUGUGGCGCAGUGGUUAAAGAAUCCGACUAGGAACCAUGAGGUUGCGGGUUCAGUCCCUGCCCUUGCUCAGUGGGUUAAGGAUCCAGCGUUGCCGUGAGCUGUGGUGUAGGUUGCAGACGUGGCUCGGAUCCCGCGUUGCUGUGGCUCUGGCAUAGGCCGGUGGCUAUGGCUCCGAUUCGACCCCUAGCCUGGGAACCUCCAUAUGCCGCAGGGGCGGCCCAAGAAAUAACAAAAAAAAAGACAAAAAAACAAAAAAAACAAAAACAAAAACAAAGCAUCAUAGUCAGGAUCCAGUAGAACAUAUGCCUUUUUCUCUCCAUCAGGCCUAAUCAGAGUGUCGACCUUAGCUGCAGCAAUGUCAUAGCGUUUCGUCACAGCCUGCUUAAUCCGGUGCUUGUUGGUUUUGACAUCCGCAAUGAACGCAAGUGUUUUGUUGUCUUCUGUCUUCUUCAAGGCUGACUCGGUGAUAAGGGAGACCUUGAUGAUAGCAUAGUGGUCAAACUUGUUUCUCCUGGGGGGCUCUUCUGAGGAUAUUUGGGCUGCCGCCUAAGCGACAGUGUUUUUGGCCAUUGGAAGGUGGGUGAUGCCCAGAUCUUUUGCAUGUGUGCGUGUGUAUGUGUGGCUGGUUGUGGACACCUUUCAGUUCUGCCUUUUUGGCCUUCAAAGCCUUUCUUUGGCUUUGGGAGGAGCAGGGGCUUCCUUCUUCACUUCGGGCACCAUCUUCCUGAAAAGCACCUUGUGGUAUUUGUUAUGCAACAAUAGAAUGCUAAUAGUGAUGGUAAGCUAUUUUUACAGAACAUUUCAGAACUUUCCUCUCUCUCUCUAACAAAACAUUUCAGAACUUUUUCUCUACUUUGACUCCAUUUAGAAGGAGGAUUCCCCAAACUUCCACCAUCCUUCCCGCCUCUAAUUUCAAUUGGUAUCAUUCUACGAAGAGGAAUUUCCAGCUUGCGGCUCUAUGAGGAGAUCAGGACAAAACAAUUGCUCCCUAAUCUCGGGGGAUAAUUUACAUUUCCUUUGAUCUGUGCAUAAAGUCACAAAUGAUCUCUCCUCUCUUUAUAUUAUAAUAAUUUUAAGGGUCUGGUAUUUUUACUUUACUAAUAAAAAUAUCACCUAAGUACAAAUUUUGUGUUUAAAGGCAUAAAAACCACUCAGUAAGCUAUGGCAUAAUAAUGACUUAUUUUCUCACUUUGUGAGAUAUUGUGUAGGCUGAUACAGAAGGUGUAAAGAGUUUUGAAAUUGCAAUGAUUGCCCGAUCCAGACUGAUUUAUUGCCAUAUUUGGCUUGUUCUUCAGUUUUUCUCAAAUGCAAAAGCAUGCCAGUAUAAUAAAUCAUAAUUGACAUAAGCCACAAGAUGAACGUUAAGCAUAGGAUUAUUCCACUAAAGCUUACUUUUGUUCAUUUUGUUUCUAAUUCUAAGUAAUUAAAGCCUCAAUAAUAACAUAUAUAAAAAUAAAUUAGAAACUUUACUUUAGGGAUAAUUAAUUUUGGAUGCAAUACAAUUUCUGUUUAAGUCAAGUAUUGUUUUUAAUUCAUCUCAUUGCUUAAAAAAUGAAUCAUUACAUGAUAAACCUAUUAUAUUAAGGAUGGUUUAAAAGCUCUUUAUAUUUGUCAGAAAAAGCCAUUCAGGGUUUCAGUGAAUUAAAAAGAAUACCGACUGACCAUUAGCAGAUGGGCAUAUCUCUCUUCAGUGGAUAUUUUAAAUAACUCCAAAAUUGAAAAUUUUAACAAAUAGCAAAUUGACACAGAUAAUUGAUAAUCUACCAUAUAAAUUUUGUUAAACAAAAUAACAGUUAUUUUAUAAAAACACAAUCUUACCACUUGAGGCUUCUCAACCACACCUCUAUGAAAUACACUGACAUGCCGAACAACCAAAUUUUAAACAAUAUGAGUUUCCUCUACAUGUAUAAUGAAAGUGCUUAUAUCUUAUUGAAAGAUAAACUAUAUUAAGAACAUGGAUCUAUCUUCACUUAUGAGAUUGAGUGAACACUAUAAAAUUAUUACAUAUUUUGUCAAAUUUCUCAUAUUUAUGAAAGAUGUGAUAAAGAUAAUCAUUUAUGCUUUAUAGAACAUAGUUUAACAUAUCUUUUAUAUGUAACAUAGUCUAACUUACCAAAAAAUGUGUAUACUAAUUUUAUGUUGUAUUUUCCUGUCAUAGUACUUUAUUGUGAUCUAAUUUAUAAUUGUUUUAUAUGUAAUAACUGGAUGACAUUCAAUUUUUUAGUUAGAUUUGACUCAUAGGAGAGACUGCUUUGAAGUACAAUAGCAUUGUGAAAUUUGCCCUACAAUCAUUUCAACACACAUUUAAGCUUUGUCUUUUUUUCACCUACAAUGAGUUGCCUCAUUGUACUUUGCAACUCACCCAUCCUGAAUGACAGCCUGAAAAAUCAACACAUCAGUCAGGAUAGUAGAGAGCCCAUAAUUCCUCAUCAAAAAUCCAUUUCCAUAAUAAAAAGAGUACAUUCUUGGGCGUACCCAACAAGCUUUUCUAAAAAGUACAUUGAACAAGAGCAUUAUGAGAAUUAUAGCUGAAAAUGAGCCUCAGUUGCUUUUUUGUACGCAUGUUUGUGCUAAAGACUUCAUUUUUAUGCUACAUAUACAGAGAACAAAAUGUAAUGUGUGCAUACCAUAUAUAUGUCUCACUUAAUGUCCAACUGUCUAGUAUCAACGAGCAUUCAUUAAAUUAAAGCUUCAUAGUUCCUUAAGGACAGGGACAGACAUUUCUCAUGUUUCUUGGUACCCACCUACUCCCCCUAUCCCCAUGGUGUCUAGUAUAAUGUACAAAGCAGGUGGUUAAUAAAUAGUUUU
rnacentral:lncRNA from 1 species